AUACUUACCUGUUAGAAGAGAUACCAAGAUCAAGAAGAUGGUUUUCCAGGGAGAGUCUUAUCCAUUUCACUUUCAAUGUGCUGACCCCAAAAUUUCCAAACUGCAUAAUUUGUGGUAGUGGGGUACUGUAUUCAUGCUCUCCCCCG
rnacentral:snRNA from 1 species